GAAAACAUACAGAAAUGUGUCAGGUUAGCGAAUUUUGUUUUAGAUACGGAAAAACAAUAUGCGACAAGGUUGUGUCCUAUCUGCUCAUGAUGCUGCUAUCAGUGGACCACAGUGGCUAGUGGACAUGCAGCAUAGUUCCAUCCGGAGACGUCGGAGGAUCCGCGGCAACUCCGGCCCAGCCAGGACGACAACAAAUUCGCGAAAGGGUUCACUGGCAGCGUGAGUGGGUCAUGGCUGGCGUCCCGGCGGCCGCCCCCACCACCAAUACGCUCCAAUCGACUGCGCGCAUUUAAAACAAGCCUCAGAUCCGCAGCCUGACUAUUCUCUGACGUUUCGUGCGCGCGUGCACCAGUUCCGCACUACGAUUUGCCGCAUCUAAACGUAUUAUUUUGUAGACAGAUCGUCGAUUAUUUUUUCGCUUAAAAAUCACAUAUUGUCAAUUAAUCGGACUUUCGGGCCUUGAACUAUUGAUUUUGUUAUUGAAUUAUCUUAUCAUCAUAAAAAUGAACGGGGGAAAGCAACUGGACCCUACCGGCUUGUAUUAAAAAUAUCAAACACCGAUAAAAUUUUUGUGGUUUUCUUAUAAAGAAGACACGAAAAAUGCCAGCCAACAACGGAGGAAAGGGGCUGGACCCGACGGGGCUCUACUGAGAUGUGGCAUCGCGACGAUUGCGGCGGCGACGACCGCUGUUUCCAUCUUCGUACUACGAAGGGGAGAUUCCGGUGACGUCGCCGCCAAAAAUAAUGCACUGCCACUCUAGUUACCACCAAACCCUCGCUCUUUAUUGGAGUGCCCCAAGACUGACAAUUGUUGAUUUUAUACUAAUUAUUGACUACUUGUUAUGUUAACUUAUGCUAGAUUAAGUUCCUUAGGAAGGCUAUAUACUAUGCGUGUUCGCUUAUCCUAAUUAUUUUGUACAUAUAUAACUGAUUAUUUUUUUUUCGUAAUAUAAAUCGUAUUUUUUUAA